rnacentral:rRNA from 1 species
AUUGAACGCUGGCGGCAUGCCUUACACAUGCAAGUCGAACGGCAGCAUGGAAGAGCUUGCUCUUCUGAUGGCGAGUGGCGAACGGGUGAGUAAUGCAUCGGAACGUACCGUGUAAUGGGGGAUUACGUAGCGAAAGUUACGCUAAUACCGCAUACGACCUGAGGGUGAAAGCAGGGGAUCGCAAGACCUUGCGUUAUACGAGCGGCCGAUGUCAGAUUAGCUAGUGGGUGAUGGCCUACCAAGGCGACGACGGGUAGCCGGCCUGAGAGGGUGACCGGCCACACUGGGACUGAGACACGGCCCAGACUCCUACGGGAGGCAGCAGUGGGGAAUUUUGGACAAUGGGGGCAACCCUGAUCCAGCAAUGCCGCGUGAGUGAAGAAGGCCUUCGGGUUGUAAAGCUCUUUUGUCAGGGGAGAAACACCGGCUCUAACACAGUCCGGGAAUGACGGUACCUGAAGAAUAAGCACCGGCUAACUACGUGCCAGCCGCCGCAGUAA